rnacentral:lncRNA from 1 species
CUGUAUCACUUCCACGUUCGAGGGGAAUACUUUUUUAUUUUAACUGGCAUGCCCGCGAAAAUAAGAGGUUGUUAGGAGUACUUUUACCAAAAUACUGUUCCAAAUGGAACCUCAACUAGGCCGACUUCAAGAAGUAUCCAUGAAAACUGAAGAAGCAUAAAAAUGACAGAUUUGGAGCUUUUGAACUUGAGUAAGAGGCCUUUUAUCUUUCACGUUCAACUUGUCUUCCCAUCCCAUUUCCUUAACCAUUUCGAGUACUUUAAUACUAUGUAUAGACUCGAGUUCCCAAUCUCUAUGGGGCCAUAUCUCGAGCCUCCCAUUGUCCGUGCAAUUCGAGAGCUUAGGAACCAAAUGCAUUCCGAUUUCAGUGAACUUGUAGACUAUUAACAUGUACAUAACAUCCUCUAUAGCUUUUCGACAUUCCAGCCUUCUCAGCUCAGAGAUUCUUCUGGCAUUUCAACGUAUUCAAAUAUCAGCAAACAUUUCAACAUAUUCAAAUAGAUAUCACAUACUACUAUUAUAAUGCAGAAACAAAUAUAUCUUAGGAAUUUUCAUCCACAUAACAAUCGGUUCCUAUUAUUGGAGCAUACAUCCUAUCUUGGAAGAUAUCUCAUGAUUGAUCUUCCAUAUCUCAGUAUCUCAUAGUGAUUUAGUUUCUAUUUAGGAGAAGAUCGCAAUUCUUUAUUAGUUGAUUCUUUUCUUAUUUGGUUUGUGUUCUCUUGGAUAUAUACACAUACAUAUCAAUGAAAUCAAAUGAAGCUUUCAUACUCUACUCACCUUUAUAUGGUAUCAGAAGGCUCAGUAUACUCUAACGAGUACGAUUUUUUCUCUCCCACCCGCCCUCCAGAAAUGGCAGACACUCCUCGAGUUGUUAAUAAUGACAACAACGUCAGCCCGAUGGUUGUUCAAUUUAACCCUGCAUCCCAAUUGCCCAUUAAAUUACUUGCCAACAACAAUUUUGCAACGUAGAAGGCGCAACUUUCCAUGCUUAUGCAUGGUCAUGAUCUCUAUGGUCAUCUUGAUGGGUCUACACCUUUCCCAUCUUGCACUAUCACAGCUGGCAUAGUCCCUAGUGCCAAUCCUGCAUUUACCCUUUGGUUUCGACAAGACCAACUCAUUCAAAAUGCACUUAUGGCCUCUGUUGAUCCAACAAUUGCAACAAUAGUUGCAGCGGCUACCUUAACAAAGACAGCCUGGGAUGCACCGCACAUCGCCUAUGCGAACAAGUCCCAAACCAAAAUUUUUAGUCUGUGUGAUCAACUUAUGCGUCUGGCCAAUGAAUCCCAGUCAGUCACCAAAUAUUUGCAAUUUAUUCGAUCUAUUUUUGAUGAAUUCUCUACUACUGGUGCUCUGGUCUCCAACUCUGAACUUAUUGUCAAGAUCUUGAGUGGUUUGGGUCCAUAAUUUCAUGAGAUUUCUACUGUAAUCCGUGCUCGUGACUCUACAAUUACUUAUGAAGAACUCUACUAAAAGCUCCUGGAUCAUGAGCUCUUCCUUCGACAUGAAGAGUCAAAAAAAGUUUCCAAUCAGAUUACUGCUACUGCUGCUACCUCCAAUAAGUUUGGUAUUUCGAACAAUCGCACUAAUCGUCGCCCCAGCAAUAACAAUGGCAACAACCAACAGUGGCGGUCUAAUAAUCACUUUACUUCACCCUAUCCACGACGAUCUUCGACCACCACAAACUUUUCUGAUGGGGUUCACUGUCAGUUGUACAACAAACCAUAUCAUGUUGCAAGUGUUUGUCGAUAGAAAUCUCACAAUAACUUUGAGGCAAAAUCCAAUUAUGUUUUAGGAUUACAGGCAUCAGAAAAUCCUUCGAUUCUUAACUAGGAUUACAGGCAUCAGAAAAUCCUUAGAUUCUCGACUCUAGAGCAUCUUAUCACAUCACUGUCGAACCUCAAAAUUUACAGCCAUACAAUAGGAUAGAGCAGGUCUCCAUGGGUAAUGGUAAAAAAAUACUAAUAACUCACACUGGUUCAUCUCAAUUAAAUGCAUCACAUAAAUCUUUCAAACUCUCUAACACUCCAUGUGCUCCUAGCAUUAAACCCAAUUUACUCUCUGUCUCUAAAUUUUGUUAAGAUAACCUAACCUCGAAUUCUUUCCCUUUCAUAUUUUUGUGAAGGACGUGGAAACGCGAACUCCGUUGGUACACGAUCAGAAUAAGAACGGUCUCUAUGAGUGGCCAAAUUUACCCUCCAUGUCUUCUCCUCAAGUGCAUUUGACCUCCACCAGCACAUCCACUUCUACCUGGCAUAGUCGGUUGGGUCAUCCGAAUGUAAGAGUGUUAAAUUUUCUUUUGAAUAAAUUCUCACUACCUUGCUCGCGAGAAAAAAUUUCAGUUUGUAAUUCUUGUUCCUCGAAUAAGGCUCACCGCCAUCCUUUUAAACAUUUUAGUUUAUCAAGUACCAAACCAUUUCAAAUAAUAUUUAGUGAUUUAUGGGGUCCUUCUCCAGUUCAAUCGAUUAACAAAAAAUUAUACUAUUGUAUUUUUGUGGAUCAGUAUACCCGAUACACCUAACUUUACACAUUAAAAAAUAAAAGUGAGGUUACAAACCUUUUAAAAAACUUUCAAGCAUUAAUUGAACGUCGUUUUAAUAUGAAAGUUCUUUCUAUCUAUACAAAUGAUGGUGGCGAAUAUAAAAGUCUUCAUCCAUACCUAAGAUCUCAGGGUAUUGAACAUCUUUUAUCCCCUUCAUACACUCGCAAAGAGUCGCUCUUGCAGAAAGAGGUCAUAGACAUAUUAUUGAGACGGUACACACUUUACUUUAUGAAGCUUCACUUUCAUCGACUGUCUUUUGCUUGUCAACAUGCAAUUUAUCUGAUGAAUCGCUUGCCAACCUCACUUUUACAAAACAAAUCACCUUUUCAAAUGUUGUUUGGUCAUAAUCCGGAUUACAAUUCUUUAAAAAAAUUUGGGUGUCUCUGUUAUCCCUGGCUCAAACCUUAUUCAAAAAAUAAAUUAGAGCCACGAUCAACACCAUGUGUAUAUUUAGGAUUUUCUUUAGUUCAUCAUUGUCACCAAUGUUUUGAUCCAAAAUCUUCUAAAAUAUAUUUAUCUCGUGAUGUGAAUUUUUUUGAAAAUAAUUUUUCUUUUCAAAAUAUAUUUUUAAAUAUUACUUCAACUUGAAAAGAACUUGCAUGGGAAAACCCAACUGACACUACCACAACAACAUCCCCUAGUUUUUAUUCUCCCAUAAGCAGCGAAUUACUUAGCCCCAUACUUAUCCCAAGUUUAGAUAGCAGCAAUGCUCUCAAAGACACCUUUCCUCUGCCUGCGCUCCAAGUAAAUCUGCAAGUUCAUGUACCUCUUCUCCUUCUCCUCCUAUAAAUUGUGUUGUUCCUACUGAUCUCCGUGACACCCACUCUUAUCCCCCAUUGCCUCAAUCAUCAACUUUUCCAAUUGUAUACAGUCGCAAAAAUAAAACAAUGUCAUCUGCUAGCCAAAACACCAUUGUCGGUCCCUCUACCUCACUUCCGCUACAACCUCUCCCGACCCUGCUUAAGCCACAGAACCCCAACAACCUUCUCUUCCUACUCCAAAUCGCGUUGUGACCCGUUCACAACACAACAUUUACAAACUAAAAACUAUUCUUGACUUCAUGGCUCACUAAUCCCCCUCCAUCACCCCGACCAACUUCAAACAAGCUAACUAACACCCAGAGUGGCAAAGAGUAAUGAAACAUCAAUUUGAUGCAUUAUUGAAUCAUCACACAUGGGAUUUGGUACCACAUGACCCUACAAAAACCAUUAUUUCUUGCAAAUGGUUAUACAGGUUUUAAAAAAAGUUGAUUGCACAAUCGAUCGCUACAAGGCCCAACUUAUUGCAAAGGGGUUUACACAACAUCCUGGAGUUGACUAUCAUGCCACGUUUAGUCCGGUCAUCAAACCAACUAUUGUACGUUGGUGCUCUUUAUCGCUUUCCAGCGGAAUUGGCCCUUACACCAGCUUGAUGUUAACAACACGUUUUUGCAAGGUCGUCUAAAAGAAAAAGUGUACAUGGUCCAACCUCCAAGUUUUGCAUACGAUCAGUUUCCUUCUCAUAUAUGUCGUAUAAAGAAAGAAAUAUAUGACCUCAAGCAAGCCCCCCGGGCGUGGUACAAUGAACUUAGGACAUUUCUUCUUUAUUUGGGGAUGCCUCACUCUUCAUUCACAAAGUCUCAAACAAUAUUUGUACGCACUGGUUUAUGUAGACGAUAUCAUUAUUACAGGGAAUCAUAACUCAGAGGUAAAUUGGGUUAUUGCUCGUCUUGCUGGGCAUUUUUUCAUCAAGGAUCUUGGGAAUCUAAACUUCUUUCUUGGAGUGGAGGUGCUCCAAACUGUCAAAGGAAUCACUUUAUCACAGUCCAACUACGUCAAUGAAAUCCUCUCCAAAGAAAACAUGAAGGAUUGUAAUUUAGCAAAAAACCUAAUGAGUGCCACUAAAGUGCCUCAACUACAUGAUGGAGCGGAACCAACUGAUGCCACUCGCUACAAGAGUGUUCUUGGAAAACUGCAGUACUUGUCUUUUACUGGUCCAGACAUUAGCUUCUCUAUGAAUAAAUUGUCUCAAUUUAUGCACUCUUCAUCUGAAGUGCAUUGGAAAACACUCAAACAAGUACUCAGGUAUCUCCAAGGAACACUUCAGUUCGCUCUUCACAUUUAAAGAGGUAAUGAUUUCAAGCUACACAUGUACUCUGACGUGAAUUGGGCUGGAGAUGUGAGUGAUAGACCUUCCAUUACUGGUUACAUAUUGUUUUUUGGCCAAAAUCCUGUGAGCUGGUCUUCCAUGAAACAAAGAAUAAUUGCUCGCUCAUCAACUGAAGCAGAGUAUCGUGCCGUUGCAAGUGCGCUGGCUGAAACCAACUAGGUGACAAAUCUGCUAAAAGAACUGCAUGUUUAACUUCCUCAAAGACCAAUCAUUUACUGUGACAAAGUUGGUGCAACUUAUAAUUUGUGUGCAAAUCCAGUUUUUCAUAGCCGCAUAAAGCACAUUGCUGUAGACUUUCACUUUGUUCGCAAACAAGUUCAGCAGAAUCAAGUUCAUAUUGUGCCUAUUCAUGCUGCAGAACAAAUCGCGGAUAGUCUAACUAAAUCUCUACCCAAGCCAGCCUUUGAUAAACACCUAUUCAAGCUAGACUUUGCUACACAUUGCCUAUCUUGAGGGGGGUGUAUUGGCGCAUACAUCUUAUCUUGUAAGAUAUCUCAUGAUUGAUCUUUCAUAUCUCAGUAUCACAUAGUGAAUAAGUUUCUAUUUAGGAAAAGAUCACAAUUAUUUGUUAGUUGAUUCUUUCCUUAUUUGGUUUAUGUUCUCUUGUAUAUACACACAUACAUAUCAAUGAAAUCAAAUGAUGCUUUCAUACUCUACUCACCUUUAUACCUAUGAAGUUUAAUGAUGUAAAUGUAGUUUCUCGUUUCCUCCUACAACCGGAGGCUUUUAUCAAGAUAGUUUGUAUAUACAACGAGCAAGUUCAGCUUCCUCAAACGCUACUCGACAAUGUGAUAUAGCAGUAAAUAUGCUCUUUUUCUAGUGGUUUCACCUCAAAGUAGAGAAGUUUCGCGAAGUAUAGUUGACAUUAUCCUUUCAAGAAUUGCAUAAGGUUAAUAUAUCUUACUGAGUAACCAUAAAAUUCAGACACACAAAGGUGAAGAAACUUCAUAAAUCUAAGGACCUAUAUAACAGGACUAAUGAAUGCACUACACACCGAAAUUUGCUGGGAAGAAGCAUAUUAAGUCUUUACCACAUCAACAGAACUCUAAAAGAAAGCAAUUUUGUUUCUGUUAAUAACUUCUACAUUAUCAGUAUGCCUUGUUUUUUGAGGUAAGUAAUCUUACUUAUUUAUAGAAAAUUACUUGAAAUUAUCACAUGAUAUCAGUUAAACUAAGACAAGAGUAAAGUCAAGUUCACCUACAAAAAUAGUUCAUUCUACAUACAAAGUCUCACAUCACCACCCAUACAAUAGAGUAAUAGCAUGCUAUGACUUGUUAAUUUGGAGUAGUUGUCAGUUGUCAUUAUAUAUAACUUAAAUUUUUACAACUUCCACACUAUCAGUAUGCCUCAUUUUUUAGGUUAACAGUAUCAAUUAUUGUGGGCAAUUACUUGAAAUUAUCUUUUACAUCAGAUCAUUGUGCAAAAAUCUUUCAAUAAGGUAGCUUACGGGUUUAACUCGACAAGAGUAAGGUUAAGUUGACCAACAAAAACAGGUAAUUCUACAUAUUAAGCUAUAAAUUAAAGCAAUAAUGUCCUAUUAAGUUCACCUACAACAACAACAGUAGGCAUUUCUACAUAUAAGUGAUGUGAUAAUGUAAAAAGUCUCACAUUGUUAGCCACUUAUAAGUUAAAAGUUAAACUCGAUAACAGUAACAUUAUGUUAGACCUACAAUAACAUACAAUUACAUAUAUAAGCACAACGUGACCAACAACUUGAUAUAUAACUUAAAAACUCUUAACGAACCUGUGAAAAACAGCUUCAUCAGAGGACACACUAAAAACACUAUGAAGCAGUGCAUCGUUCCUCAGAAAAUCCAACUUAACCAAUUCUUUCUCCACAGAAGCAUAAAACCCUUCUCUAUCAUUCUGCAUUAUUAUGCCACUCAACUGUUGGGAUAUGAGUCUUUGUCACUUCCUAUGUGGAAAAUAAAGCCCAAUUUGGACCAACCCACUUUUUUUCUCAUAGGCUCGUUACUAUAGGGAAUAUAUAUAGAUCUUUUUUUAGGGCUUAUUGUCUACCACAAAAGAGAGUUUUAGCAGCCAUAAAAGAGAGAAAGAGUGCAAAUUUUUGCCCAAAAAUUCUAGCCACAACUGUCAACUUUAAAUUACGAUUUCCACUUUGUUUCUUCUCCGAUUGAGCUGAUUUUUGGUCCUCUUGUUCCUCACAUCUCAAUAUUUGAUUAGAAACCGAUGGAGUUGGAUUUGGUUUCAUGUAGCUCCUGUUCUUCAUUCCCGAACAGUAGCUGUAUUUUUGGUGUUAUCUUGUUGUGUUGUUGCUCAUUGUUUGAAAUUUGUUUUGUGGAGAAUUUUGGAGAAUAAUAUUAUAACUCUUGGUGAUUAUAGUUGAAGUUUGGUCCCGUAGUUUUUUACUCUUCAUACCAAAGAGUUUUCCACAUAAAUUUGGUGUCUCCUGUGAUUGCUUUUAUUCUUAUCUUAUUGUAUUUGUGUAGUUACUAUAUUUGCUGCCUAUUAUCAUUGUUUUGCUUAGGUUGGUUUUUUUCCUCUUGGUUCAAGUUGAAAGGAAAAGUUUAGAUUUGGGUAUUCUUCCGCUACUAACCUAUAUGGCACUUUGAUUGUGCCCUUGCCUCUCCCAAUAAGUGGUAUCAAAGCAUUUGUUGUUAUUGAUUGUUGAUUUGAAUGAUGGAGGCAAAGAUGAGCGAGAUAGUGUGUUUGAAUGGUAGUAACUAUCAUACUUGGAAAGAAAAGAUGAAAGAACUUCUCUUUAUCAAGAAAAUGCAUUUACCUGUGUUUGAGUCUACUAAACCUCAAUCCAUGACAGAUGAGAAUUGAGAAUUUGAGAAGUUACAUAUUUGUGUCUGUAUUAGACAAUGGAUUGAAGAUAAUGUUAGAAAUCAUAUUGUGAAUAAGACACAUGUUAGAAGUUUGUGGAAUAAGCUCGAGAUACUUUAUGCUUCGAAGACUGGCAAUAAAAAGUUGUUCCUGCUUAAGCAAUUGAUGAAUAUCAGGUAUAAAAAGAGCAGUUCAAUUUCUGAUAUUUAAAUAAUUUUUAGGAUGUCCUUGGCUAGUUGUCCGGAAUGGGUGUAAAGUUCGAUGAAGAAAUUCGAGGACUUUAGCUUCUUAAUACUCUGCCUGACUCUUAGGAAACUCUUUGAGUUUCUUUGACUAAUUCUGCUCUCGGUGGUGUUGUAACUAUGAAAUAUAUUAAGCGUGGUGUCUUGAAUGAAGAGAUGAGAUGAAGAUCUCAGGCCUCAUCUUCUUCAUCUUCACACUCUGAUGUUUUGGUUACUGAAGAGAGAGGGAGAAACAAGUCCAGAGGUUCGAAUGAUAGAGAUAAAAGUAGAAGCAAGUCGAGGUCCGAAUUCAAGAAUGUUAUAUGUGACUAUUGAAAAAAAAGGAUAUAUUAUGAAAUAAUGUUACAAACAUAAGGGAGAUAUGAGAUGACAAAAGAAUGAAGACGAUAAUGAAAAUCGUAUUGCAGUUGUUGCUAAUGAUGAUCUUCUUAUUUCUUAUGGUGAGAAUGUCAUUAAUCUUAUUCGUGAUGAGUCUAGCUGGUUUGUGGAUUCUGGUGCUACUUCUCAUGUUACGCCCAAGAAGGAAUUAUUUUCUUCUUAUACUCCAGGUAAUUUUGGGAUGUUGAAAAUGGGCAAUAAUGAUAAAGUUAAAGUACUUGGCAUUGGCGCUGUUUGUUUGAAAAGUGACAAUGGUUCCAAACUAGUUUUCAAUAAUGUCAAGCAUGUUCCAGAUAUUCGCCUGAAUUUGAUUUUGAUAGAGAACCUUGAUGAUGAGGGUUAUGUUAACACCCUUGGUGCUGGUUAGUGGAAGUUUACUAAAGGUUCGAUGACUGUGGCUCUAUUUGACAAGUUGUCUAACUUGUAUGUAUUUCAGGGCUCUAAUUCUAGGGGCUUGAUAAACUUGACAGAGAAUGAUACUUCAUUAGAGUUAUGGCAUAGAAGGUUGAGUCACAUGAGUGAGAAGGGGAUUGAUAGUUUGGUUAAGAAAAAUUUAUUUUCUGGAGGGAAACAAGCAAAGUUGAAGAAGUGUGUUCAUUGCUUAGCCGGUAAACAGAAAAAAGUUUCUUUUCAGAGUUAUCCGCCUUCAAGAAAGCUUGAUUUGCUGGAGUUGAUGCAUUUUGAUUUGUGUGGUCCUUUUAAAGUAAAGUUAUCAUGGUAGUGCACUUUACUUUGUGACUUUUAUUGAUGAUCAUUCUCACGAACUCUGGGUAUUUUCUUUGAAGUUCAAGGAUCAAGUACUUGAUGUGUUCAAGGAUUUUCAGGCCUUGGUUGAGAGACAUAUAAGGAAGAAAUUAAAAUGCAUCCACUUAGAUAAUAGUGGUGAGUAUAUUGGUCCUUUUGAUAGAUAUUGCAGAGAGCAGGGUAUUCGGCAUCAGAAAACUCCUCCAAAAACUCCUCAGUUGAAUGGUUUAGCAGAGAUAAUGAACAGAAUUCUAGUUGAGAGGGUUAGAUGUAUGCUUUCAGAUGCUAAGCUGCCAAAUACCUUUUGGGCAGAGGCACUUAAUACUGUUGUUUAUGUUAUCAAUUUAUCUCUUACUAUUGCUUUGGAUGGUGAUGUCCCUGACAAAGUUUGGUCUGGUAAGAAUAUUUUUUAUGAUCAUCUUAGAGUCUUUGGGUGCAAAGUUUUUCUGCAUGUUCCUAAAGAAGAGAGGUUAAAGUUGAAUGUUAAAACUAGGUAAUGUAUCUUCAUUGGUUAUGGUUAAGAUGAACUUGGCUAUCAUUUCUAUGAUCUAGUUGAGAAGAAACUUGUGAUGUUGUGUUUUUGGAAGACCAAACAAUUGAAGAUUUUGAGAAAACUGAGAAGGUUGAUUCUCAGAGUAGUGGGAGCCUCAUUAAUGUUGAUCCAGUUCCUUUGACUACUGCUCCUGAAGAAAAUCUUCAUGAUGAUGAUAAUCAAGUUGAUAAUGAAGAUGAUAAUCAUGUCCAGAAUGACCAACAAGAUAUUGAUACUCCAUUGCAAGUUGAUAUGGUUAAUCAAUAACCAGUUGUUGAUGCUCCAGAAAGUUCUAUCAGAUGAUCUACUAGAGAGAGAAUAUCUUCAUCUUGUUAUUCUCCCAGUGAGUAUGUACUCUUGACUGAUGGGAGAGAACCUGGGAGUCUUGAUGAGGCUAUCGAAAGUGAAGAAAAAAAGUGAUUUGAUGCUAUGAAAGAUGAGAUUAAAUCUUUGCAUGAUAAUCAUACUUUUGAUUUGGUUAAACUGCCUAAUGACAGAAAAACUUUGAAAAACAGGCGGGUUUUUUGUGUGAAGCAUGAAGAUGGUAACCCAAUUCCACGGUACAAGACUAUAUUAGUUGUGAAGAGAUUUAACCAGAAAAGGAGAGUUGAUUUUGCUGAGAUAUUCUCUCCAGUUGUGAAGAUGUCAUCUAUUCGUGUGGUUCUAGGCUUAGCUAAAAGUUUAGAUUUAAAGGUUGAGCAAAUGAAUGUUAAAACUACUUUUCUCCGUGGUGACUUAGAUGAAGAAAUUUAAAUGGAGCAACCUGAAGGUUUUGAAGUCAAGGGAAAAGAAAAUUAUGUUUGUAAAUUGAAGAAGAACUUGUAUAGUUUAAAACAAGCUCCCAGGCAGUGGUACAGGAAGUUUGGUUCCUUUAUGAGUCAGCAGGGCUUCAAGAAAAGUACUUCAAACCAUUGUGUUUUUGUGAAAAAAAUUCUCUGAUGGUAACUUUAUUAUUGUGUUGCUUUAUGUUGAUGACAUGCUUGAUGUUGGUCAUAAUACUCGCAAGAUUUAAAAGUUUAAGCAAGAGUUGAGUAAGUCUUUUUCUAUGAAAGACUUAGGACUGACAAAGCAAAUUCUUGGCAUGCAGAUUGUUCAUGACAGAAAGGCCAAGAAGUUUUGGUUAUCACAAGAGAAGUACAUUCAGAAAGUACUUCGAAGGUUUAACAUGGACAAGGCUAAGUUUGUCACUACACCUUUAGCUAUGCACUUCAAAUUGAGCACAAAACAGUGUCCUUCCAGUGAUAAUGAGAAGGAAGAUAUGAAGAAAGUUCCAUAUUCUUCAGCCGUUGGUAGUUUGAUGUAUGUAAUGGUUUGCACAAGACCGGAUAUUGCUCAUGCUGUUGGUAUUGUUAUCCGUUUUCUUUCUAAUCCGGGAAGAAAAUAUUGGAAUGCUGUGAAGUGAAUUAUGAGAUACCUUUGUGGCACUUCUAGUCGGAGUUUGUAUUUUGGUACAGGGAAGUUUAUUCUUUGUGGUUAUACUGAUUCAGACAUGGCUGGUGAUGUUGAUACUCGCAAGUUUACUUCAGGGUAUUUGGUUACUUUUGCAGGGAGAGUUAUGUCUUAGUAAUCUAUGUUGCAAAAAUGUGUUGCUCUAUCUACUACAGAAGCUGAGCUUAUUGUUGUCGUUGAAGCUUGUAAAGAAUUGAUUUGGAUAAAGAGAUUCUUGGGGGAACUUGGUUGUGCUCAAGAGAGGUAUGUGCUUAAUUGUGACAGUGAAAGUGUUAUACAUCUUGGCAAGAAUUCUACAUUUCAUAGUCAGUAUAAACACAUUGAUGUGAGAUAUUAUUGGUUCGAGAUGUGUUGGAUUCUAAGUUGCUUGAAAUUGAGAAGAUUCAUACGGAUGAUAAUGGUUCCGACAUGAUGAUUAAGGCUUUGCCAAGAGGAAAGUUUGAAGAUUGUACCAACUGAUGCCACUCGCUACAAGAGUGUUCUUGGAAAACUGCAGUACUUGUCUUUUACUGGUCCAGACAUUAGCUUCUCUAUGAAUAAAUUGUCUCAAUUUAUGCACUCUUCAUCUGAAGUGCAUUGGAAAACACUCAAACAAGUACUCAGGUAUCUCCAAGGAACACUUCAGUUCGCUCUUCACAUUUAAAGAGGUAAUGAUUUCAAGCUACACAUGUACUCUGACGUGAAUUGGGCUGGAGAUGUGAGUGAUAGACCUUCCAUUACUGGUUACAUAUUGUUUUUUGGCCAAAAUCCUGUGAGCUGGUCUUCCAUGAAACAAAGAAUAAUUGCUCGCUCAUCAACUGAAGCAGAGUAUCGUGCCGUUGCAAGUGCGCUGGCUGAAACCAACUAGGUGACAAAUCUGCUAAAAGAACUGCAUGUUUAACUUCCUCAAAGACCAAUCAUUUACUGUGACAAAGUUGGUGCAACUUAUAAUUUGUGUGCAAAUCCAGUUUUUCAUAGCCGCAUAAAGCACAUUGCUGUAGACUUUCACUUUGUUCGCAAACAAGUUCAGCAGAAUCAAGUUCAUAUUGUGCCUAUUCAUGCUGCAGAACAAAUCGCGGAUAGUCUAACUAAAUCUCUACCCAAGCCAGCCUUUGAUAAACACCUAUUCAAGCUAGACUUUGCUACACAUUGCCUAUCUUGAGGGGGGUGUAUUGGCGCAUACAUCUUAUCUUGUAAGAUAUCUCAUGAUUGAUCUUUCAUAUCUCAGUAUCACAUAGUGAAUAAGUUUCUAUUUAGGAAAAGAUCACAAUUAUUUGUUAGUUGAUUCUUUCCUUAUUUGGUUUAUGUUCUCUUGUAUAUACACACAUACAUAUCAAUGAAAUCAAAUGAUGCUUUCAUACUCUACUCACCUUUAUACCUAUGAAGUUUAAUGAUGUAAAUGUAGUUUCUCGUUUCCUCCUACAACCGGAGGCUUUUAUCAAGAUAGUUUGUAUAUACAACGAGCAAGUUCAGCUUCCUCAAACGCUACUCGACAAUGUGAUAUAGCAGUAAAUAUGCUCUUUUUCUAGUGGUUUCACCUCAAAGUAGAGAAGUUUCGCGAAGUAUAGUUGACAUUAUCCUUUCAAGAAUUGCAUAAGGUUAAUAUAUCUUACUGAGUAACCAUAAAAUUCAGACACACAAAGGUGAAGAAACUUCAUAAAUCUAAGGACCUAUAUAACAGGACUAAUGAAUGCACUACACACCGAAAUUUGCUGGGAAGAAGCAUAUUAAGUCUUUACCACAUCAACAGAACUCUAAAAGAAAGCAAUUUUGUUUCUGUUAAUAACUUCUACAUUAUCAGUAUGCCUUGUUUUUUGAGGUAAGUAAUCUUACUUAUUUAUAGAAAAUUACUUGAAAUUAUCACAUGAUAUCAGUUAAACUAAGACAAGAGUAAAGUCAAGUUCACCUACAAAAAUAGUUCAUUCUACAUACAAAGUCUCACAUCACCACCCAUACAAUAGAGUAAUAGCAUGCUAUGACUUGUUAAUUUGGAGUAGUUGUCAGUUGUCAUUAUAUAUAACUUAAAUUUUUACAACUUCCACACUAUCAGUAUGCCUCAUUUUUUAGGUUAACAGUAUCAAUUAUUGUGGGCAAUUACUUGAAAUUAUCUUUUACAUCAGAUCAUUGUGCAAAAAUCUUUCAAUAAGGUAGCUUACGGGUUUAACUCGACAAGAGUAAGGUUAAGUUGACCAACAAAAACAGGUAAUUCUACAUAUUAAGCUAUAAAUUAAAGCAAUAAUGUCCUAUUAAGUUCACCUACAACAACAACAGUAGGCAUUUCUACAUAUAAGUGAUGUGAUAAUGUAAAAAGUCUCACAUUGUUAGCCACUUAUAAGUUAAAAGUUAAACUCGAUAACAGUAACAUUAUGUUAGACCUACAAUAACAUACAAUUACAUAUAUAAGCACAACGUGACCAACAACUUGAUAUAUAACUUAAAAACUCUUAACGAACCUGUGAAAAACAGCUUCAUCAGAGGACACACUAAAAACACUAUGAAGCAGUGCAUCGUUCCUCAGAAAAUCCAACUUAACCAAUUCUUUCUCCACAGAAGCAUAAAACCCUUCUCUAUCAUUCUGCAUUAUUAUGCCACUCAACUGUUGGGAUAUGAGUCUUUGUCACUUCCUAUGUGGAAAAUAAAGCCCAAUUUGGACCAACCCACUUUUUUUCUCAUAGGCUCGUUACUAUAGGGAAUAUAUAUAGAUCUUUUUUUAGGGCUUAUUGUCUACCACAAAAGAGAGUUUUAGCAGCCAUAAAAGAGAGAAAGAGUGCAAAUUUUUGCCCAAAAAUUCUAGCCACAACUGUCAACUUUAAAUUACGAUUUCCACUUUGUUUCUUCUCCGAUUGAGCUGAUUUUUGGUCCUCUUGUUCCUCACAUCUCAAUAUUUGAUUAGAAACCGAUGGAGUUGGAUUUGGUUUCAUGUAGCUCCUGUUCUUCAUUCCCGAACAGUAGCUGUAUUUUUGGUGUUAUCUUGUUGUGUUGUUGCUCAUUGUUUGAAAUUUGUUUUGUGGAGAAUUUUGGAGAAUAAUAUUAUAACUCUUGGUGAUUAUAGUUGAAGUUUGGUCCCGUAGUUUUUUACUCUUCAUACCAAAGAGUUUUCCACAUAAAUUUGGUGUCUCCUGUGAUUGCUUUUAUUCUUAUCUUAUUGUAUUUGUGUAGUUACUAUAUUUGCUGCCUAUUAUCAUUGUUUUGCUUAGGUUGGUUUUUUUCCUCUUGGUUCAAGUUGAAAGGAAAAGUUUAGAUUUGGGUAUUCUUCCGCUACUAACCUAUAUGGCACUUUGAUUGUGCCCUUGCCUCUCCCAAUAAGUGGUAUCAAAGCAUUUGUUGUUAUUGAUUGUUGAUUUGAAUGAUGGAGGCAAAGAUGAGCGAGAUAGUGUGUUUGAAUGGUAGUAACUAUCAUACUUGGAAAGAAAAGAUGAAAGAACUUCUCUUUAUCAAGAAAAUGCAUUUACCUGUGUUUGAGUCUACUAAACCUCAAUCCAUGACAGAUGAGAAUUGAGAAUUUGAGAAGUUACAUAUUUGUGUCUGUAUUAGACAAUGGAUUGAAGAUAAUGUUAGAAAUCAUAUUGUGAAUAAGACACAUGUUAGAAGUUUGUGGAAUAAGCUCGAGAUACUUUAUGCUUCGAAGACUGGCAAUAAAAAGUUGUUCCUGCUUAAGCAAUUGAUGAAUAUCAGGUAUAAAAAGAGCAGUUCAAUUUCUGAUAUUUAAAUAAUUUUUAGGAUGUCCUUGGCUAGUUGUCCGGAAUGGGUGUAAAGUUCGAUGAAGAAAUUCGAGGACUUUAGCUUCUUAAUACUCUGCCUGACUCUUAGGAAACUCUUUGAGUUUCUUUGACUAAUUCUGCUCUCGGUGGUGUUGUAACUAUGAAAUAUAUUAAGCGUGGUGUCUUGAAUGAAGAGAUGAGAUGAAGAUCUCAGGCCUCAUCUUCUUCAUCUUCACACUCUGAUGUUUUGGUUACUGAAGAGAGAGGGAGAAACAAGUCCAGAGGUUCGAAUGAUAGAGAUAAAAGUAGAAGCAAGUCGAGGUCCGAAUUCAAGAAUGUUAUAUGUGACUAUUGAAAAAAAAGGAUAUAUUAUGAAAUAAUGUUACAAACAUAAGGGAGAUAUGAGAUGACAAAAGAAUGAAGACGAUAAUGAAAAUCGUAUUGCAGUUGUUGCUAAUGAUGAUCUUCUUAUUUCUUAUGGUGAGAAUGUCAUUAAUCUUAUUCGUGAUGAGUCUAGCUGGUUUGUGGAUUCUGGUGCUACUUCUCAUGUUACGCCAAAGAAGAAAUUAUUUUCUUCUUAUACUCCAGGUAAUUUUGGGAUGUUGAAAAUGGGCAAUAAUGAUAAAGUUAAAGUACUUGGCAUUGGCGCUGUUUGUUUGAAAAGUGACAAUGGUUCCAAACUAGUUUUCAAUAAUGUCAAGCAUGUUCCAGAUAUUCGCCUGAAUUUGAUUUUGAUAGAGAACCUUGAUGAUGAGGGUUAUGUUAACACCCUUGGUGCUGGUUAGUGGAAGUUUACUAAAGGUUCGAUGACUGUGGCUCUAUUUGACAAGUUGUCUAACUUGUAUGUAUUUCAGGGCUCUAAUUCUAGGGGCUUGAUAAACUUGACAGAGAAUGAUACUUCAUUAGAGUUAUGGCAUAGAAGGUUGAGUCACAUGAGUGAGAAGGGGAUUGAUAGUUUGGUUAAGAAAAAUUUAUUUUCUGGAGGGAAACAAGCAAAGUUGAAGAAGUGUGUUCAUUGCUUAGCCGGUAAACAGAAAAAAGUUUCUUUUCAGAGUUAUCCGCCUUCAAGAAAGCUUGAUUUGCUGGAGUUGAUGCAUUUUGAUUUGUGUGGUCCUUUUAAAGUAAAGUUAUCAUGGUAGUGCACUUUACUUUGUGACUUUUAUUGAUGAUCAUUCUCACGAACUCUGGGUAUUUUCUUUGAAGUUCAAGGAUCAAGUACUUGAUGUGUUCAAGGAUUUUCAGGCCUUGGUUGAGAGACAUAUAAGGAAGAAAUUAAAAUGCAUCCACUUAGAUAAUAGUGGUGAGUAUAUUGGUCCUUUUGAUAGAUAUUGCAGAGAGCAGGGUAUUCGGCAUCAGAAAACUCCUCCAAAAACUCCUCAGUUGAAUGGUUUAGCAGAGAUAAUGAACAGAAUUCUAGUUGAGAGGGUUAGAUGUAUGCUUUCAGAUGCUAAGCUGCCAAAUACCUUUUGGGCAGAGGCACUUAAUACUGUUGUUUAUGUUAUCAAUUUAUCUCUUACUAUUGCUUUGGAUGGUGAUGUCCCUGACAAAGUUUGGUCUGGUAAGAAUAUUUUUUAUGAUCAUCUUAGAGUCUUUGGGUGCAAAGUUUUUCUGCAUGUUCCUAAAGAAGAGAGGUUAAAGUUGAAUGUUAAAACUAGGUAAUGUAUCUUCAUUGGUUAUGGUUAAGAUGAACUUGGCUAUCAUUUCUAUGAUCUAGUUGAGAAGAAACUUGUGAUGUUGUGUUUUUGGAAGACCAAACAAUUGAAGAUUUUGAGAAAACUGAGAAGGUUGAUUCUCAGAGUAGUGGGAGCCUCAUUAAUGUUGAUCCAGUUCCUUUGACUACUGCUCCUGAAGAAAAUCUUCAUGAUGAUGAUAAUCAAGUUGAUAAUGAAGAUGAUAAUCAUGUCCAGAAUGACCAACAAGAUAUUGAUACUCCAUUGCAAGUUGAUAUGGUUAAUCAAUAACCAGUUGUUGAUGCUCCAGAAAGUUCUAUCAGAUGAUCUACUAGAGAGAGAAUAUCUUCAUCUUGUUAUUCUCCCAGUGAGUAUGUACUCUUGACUGAUGGGAGAGAACCUGGGAGUCUUGAUGAGGCUAUCGAAAGUGAAGAAAAAAAGUGAUUUGAUGCUAUGAAAGAUGAGAUUAAAUCUUUGCAUGAUAAUCAUACUUUUGAUUUGGUUAAACUGCCUAAUGACAGAAAAACUUUGAAAAACAGGCGGGUUUUUUGUGUGAAGCAUGAAGAUGGUAACCCAAUUCCACGGUACAAGACUAUAUUAGUUGUGAAGAGAUUUAACCAGAAAAGGAGAGUUGAUUUUGCUGAGAUAUUCUCUCCAGUUGUGAAGAUGUCAUCUAUUCGUGUGGUUCUAGGCUUAGCUAAAAGUUUAGAUUUAAAGGUUGAGCAAAUGAAUGUUAAAACUACUUUUCUCCGUGGUGACUUAGAUGAAGAAAUUUAAAUGGAGCAACCUGAAGGUUUUGAAGUCAAGGGAAAAGAAAAUUAUGUUUGUAAAUUGAAGAAGAACUUGUAUAGUUUAAAACAAGCUCCCAGGCAGUGGUACAGGAAGUUUGGUUCCUUUAUGAGUCAGCAGGGCUUCAAGAAAAGUACUUCAAACCAUUGUGUUUUUGUGAAAAAAAUUCUCUGAUGGUAACUUUAUUAUUGUGUUGCUUUAUGUUGAUGACAUGCUUGAUGUUGGUCAUAAUACUCGCAAGAUUUAAAAGUUUAAGCAAGAGUUGAGUAAGUCUUUUUCUAUGAAAGACUUAGGACUGACAAAGCAAAUUCUUGGCAUGCAGAUUGUUCAUGACAGAAAGGCCAAGAAGUUUUGGUUAUCACAAGAGAAGUACAUUCAGAAAGUACUUCGAAGGUUUAACAUGGACAAGGCUAAGUUUGUCACUACACCUUUAGCUAUGCACUUCAAAUUGAGCACAAAACAGUGUCCUUCCAGUGAUAAUGAGAAGGAAGAUAUGAAGAAAGUUCCAUAUUCUUCAGCCGUUGGUAGUUUGAUGUAUGUAAUGGUUUGCACAAGACCGGAUAUUGCUCAUGCUGUUGGUAUUGUUAUCCGUUUUCUUUCUAAUCCGGGAAGAAAAUAUUGGAAUGCUGUGAAGUGAAUUAUGAGAUACCUUUGUGGCACUUCUAGUCGGAGUUUGUAUUUUGGUACAGGGAAGUUUAUUCUUUGUGGUUAUACUGAUUCAGACAUGGCUGGUGAUGUUGAUACUCGCAAGUUUACUUCAGGGUAUUUGGUUACUUUUGCAGGGAGAGUUAUGUCUUAGUAAUCUAUGUUGCAAAAAUGUGUUGCUCUAUCUACUACAGAAGCUGAGCUUAUUGUUGUCGUUGAAGCUUGUAAAGAAUUGAUUUGGAUAAAGAGAUUCUUGGGGGAACUUGGUUGUGCUCAAGAGAGGUAUGUGCUUAAUUGUGACAGUGAAAGUGUUAUACAUCUUGGCAAGAAUUCUACAUUUCAUAGUCAGUAUAAACACAUUGAUGUGAGAUAUUAUUGGUUCGAGAUGUGUUGGAUUCUAAGUUGCUUGAAAUUGAGAAGAUUCAUACGGAUGAUAAUGGUUCCGACAUGAUGAUUAAGGCUUUGCCAAGAGGAAAGUUUGAAGAUUGUUGCAUGAUCGCCGGGAUGGCGGUCUCCUCCACAUAGUCUGGAGGGGGAGAAUUGUUGGGAUAUGGGUCUUUGUUACUUCCUAUGUGAAUAAAUAAAGCCUAAUUUGGACCAACUCACUUUUCCUCAUAGGCCCAUUACUAUGUGACAUAUAUAUAGAUCUUUUUUAGGUCUUAUUCACUAUCACAAAAGAGAGUUUUAGCAGCCACAAAAGAGAGAAAGAGUGCAGAUUUUCGCCCUAAAAUUCUAGCCACAGCUGUCAACUUCAAAUUGCGAUUUUCACUUCGUUUCUUGUCCGAUUGAGCUGAUAUUUGAACUGCUUAUUCCUCUCAUCUCAAUCUUUGGUUAGAAACUGACGGAGUUGGAUUUGGUGGCCUGUAGCUCCUGUUCUUCAUUUCCGAACAGUAGUUGCGUUUUUGGUAUUUGUGCUCUUUUUAUUCUCUAGUUUUGGUGCUAUCUUGUUGUUGUGUCGUUGCUCAUUGUUUGACACUUGUUUUGUGGUCAAUUUUGGAGAACAAUAUUGUAACUUUUGGUGAUUAUAAUGGACGUUUGAUCCCGUAGUUUUUUACUCCUCACACCGAAGAAUUUUCCACGUAAAUUUGGUGUCUCGUGUUAUUGCCUUUAUUCUUAUCUUGUCGUAUUUAUAUGGUUAAUAUAUUUGCUACCUAUUAUGGGUAUUCUUCCGCUGCUACCCUGUCGGCACUUUAAUUGUGCCCUUACCUUGUCCAACAUCAACAACCUUCCUGCUUCUGUCGUCGGCGCUAAAGGCGCAGUCAAUCCAUUAAACUCACAAUUUCCAUUUCCAUUAUUAUUACUACAACAACUAGCCACCAAAGUCAAUGACUUUUUCUUGGUCCUAAAUAGAGUAUUCCUAUGUAAAUUGAAUGGAGAAAAUAGUGGCUUUGGUGACAAAAAGUAAAGGGUGUUGUUGAAUUUGCAUGGUGGAUAUUGGCGUAGUGAAAUCUUGGAGUAUAAAGGUAGACACUCCAUUCAAGAAGCUAAAUACUGGAAAAAACACAGUAGAAGAGAAAUUUAUUGUUAUGAGAAAAUAUUAAGCUGUGACAGUUUGUGUGUAUUAUGAUGAUGGGAAGUUUAUUUAACUUACUUCUAAUCCGUUUCAUUCAAGGAUUAAGUAUCCUUAACCAACUCAAUUUUGUAGUAAUGACUUAUUCUACUAAACUAAUACGAGUAGUUAAUAAUUACUAGUGUAAAGAUGCAUGUCAUGUAUUUAUUCAGUCCAUAAACAAUUUGUAGAAUGGAGUGUAUUUUCCACAAAAAGGGUUGCACUGUCACCUCUAGCAAAAAGACCAUCAUAUCAAUAAUCAAUUAACUAUAUCUCAAUCUCGAAUAAGUUGAACUCGAUUAUUAUAAGUGAUCUUGGAUGUAUUUAUACGUCCAAGUGCUAAUUAUUGCCCUUACUUGCACCUAUUUUAUGAGCUACAUUGUAUAUAUAGUCCUAUGACUCAGCUUAAUUUGUGUUUUUGAACUAAUGGACAUGAUUAGUGUUGCAGGACUAGAAUUUGGUGAAUAUGGAGCUUAAUUGGGUGUCAACGCCAAGCUUGUGGAUAAUUGAAGGUACUAGGAGCAACAAUGUGAGCACGAAGAGCUUAAAUAGAGUAAAACGACAUUUACAAAGCAGGGGACAUGAAGCAAAAUGUAAAAAGUGCACUAUGGAGCAAGAGUGAUAAUUUUUACACGGGAGCGUGUCACACCCAAAGAGCUCCACGAUAAAGGCGUGGCGCGUUGAAGCCCAAAAUUCGAAAUGUGAUUUUCAGUGUGCAUCCACGCUUAGGGCGUGCCACGCCGAAGGAGUCCGCCAUAAGGGCGUGACACGCUGGAGUGUUUAGCGCAUAAAAUUUUCCCAAUUAUAAAUAGGACACUUGUAUUAUUUUGGGAGAUUAUUAUGUACGUCGAAGCAAAGAGAAAAACAUACGAGGGCUUCCAAUUAGGGUUAUUUUAACACUCAUCUCUUCUACUCUAAUGUUGGUAAGAAUACUUUGAAAUCUUUGAUGUUAAUUUCGAACAUGAGUGGCUAAUUAUCCUUGUUCUGGGGUUACGGCCGGAACAUGAUUGUUUAGUAUUUAUUUUGAAUCAAUGAAACUUAUUUCUCAUUAGAUUGUGCUUAUGUUCUUGGAUCUACUAUUUUAGUGCCUAGCUAACAUUAGAAUAAAUAUGUAAUUCUUGUAUGAACGAACCAUGGAAAUACGAGAAUAGGACGAGGAACACGAGGAAUGAGAUCAGCUCUAAUGAAAGUAGGGUGAUUCACAACUAGAAUAGCAAUAUACCUAGUUUGCCUUAUUUGGCUAUUUACGGGAUGAAAACAUUAAAGCAUUUGGAUUAGAAAUUCACAUCCCGGUUCAACGAUGUAGUUGUGAGACUAAUUCGAAUAAGUGAUUUAGAGGAUGACCAUUCUCGGAUCAUAUACUUAACCCCGUAGCCCGCAAUUCGAGAAAUAACGUUCAUUGACACAAAUAAGUAUUGAACAUGAUUGUGUGACAUGCCGUAGCUCUGGAAUCUCUCUAAUUAUUGGUUAUAACUUAUAACCUUGUUAAAGAUUGUACACAACACUUUUACUUGUUUCACAUAUUGCUAGAAAGUAUUAAAUCUUACAAACCGUUUGAUAUAUCAUAACACUUGCUUGAAAUAUUAUUAACGACUCAAUUAGGUGAAUCGCUAAACUAGCAGUCCUGUGGGUUCAAUAUCCGACUCUUUUAGAGCUACUAUAUUACUUGUCAGACCACGUACACUUGCACGUGUGGUAUGACGCAACAAAAAGAAAUUCAAUAAGCAUCAAUGUCGAAUAACUAGUUUAAUCUUAACUGGUUAGCAUCACGACAUGAUGAAAGUUGUAAGUUGUAUUUAAAAAAGGGCAGCCCGGUGCACUAAAACUCCUGCUAAAUCAAUGUUGAAAGUUGUAUUUGUGCUUAAAAAGAGUUGAAAAUAUAAAACUAGGAAUCUACAGUACUAUUGCCAAUAGAGGCCAAUGUAUUAUGCUUUGGUCACUUGUAAUUAGUCCAAAAUAAUGGAAGUUCUAUACAUCUCCAAAUCCUCUUCUACUCCAUCCAUUUCAAAAAGAAUGACCUACUUUGACUUAGCACAAAGUUUAAGAAAAUAAAGAAGACUUUUUAAUUUUAUGGUUUUAAAUUGAAGUUGUGUCAAAUAUACCAAAAUGCUCUUUAAUCUCGUGACCCUAAACAUGCCAUGUGGAAAGUUGAAACUUCCUCGUCACUCUCAUCGCCAAAAAGCGCAGAGCAAUGCUUCUCAAUCACACUUUUAGCCUCUUUGAACUUCGGUUUUGUACACAUUAGCUUUAUUUCACUGUCAAGACUCGUAAUAUAGGACCUAAGAUUGUGUUGCUUCUUCCCCUCGAUAAGUGAUACUGGACGGACUGAUGUGAAUCCUGUAUCACUUCCACGUUCGAGGGGAAUACUUUUUUGUUUUAACUGCCAUGCCGGCGAAAAUAAGAGGUUGGUAGGAGUACUUUUACCUAAAUUCUGUUCCAAAUGGUACCUCAACGAGGCCGACUUCAAGAAGUAUCCAUAUAGAACCGAAGCAGCAUAGACAUGACGGAUUUGGAGCUUUUGAACUUGAGUGAGGGGCCAUUUAUCUUUCACGUUCAACUCGUCUUCCCAUCCUAUUUCCUUAACCAUGUCGAGUACUUCAACGCUGUGUAUAGACUCGAGUUCCCAGUCUCUACGAGGCCAUAUCUCGAGCCUGCCAUUGUACAUGCAAUUCGAGAGCUUAGGAACCAAAUGCACUCCAAUUUCAGAGAACUUGUAAACUAUGAACAUGUACAUAACAUCCUCUACAGCUUUUCGACAUUCCAGCCUUCUCAGCUCAGAAAUUCUCCUGGCAUUUCAACGUAUCCAAAUAUCAGUAAACAUUUCAACACAUCCUACUAUCAUAAUGCAGAAACAAGCAUUCAUUUAUCCACAAUUUGAUAAUUAGUCCUAUAAAUUACCCACCUAAGACAUUUUAAUCCAACAAUAAUUGGUUCCUAUGAAGUCUAGUGCUGCAAUAUAGUUUUUCGUUUCCUCCUUUAGCCGAGGCUUUUAUCAAGACAUUGUAUUUCCAUCGAGCAAGUUUAGAUUCCUCAAAAGGCCACUCGAAAAUGUGAUAUCGCAGCAAAUAAGCUCAUAAAGAAACACUUGCAAAGUCUAAGUUAACUAUUACUUUGUCAUGAAUUACCUAUCAGUAUGCCUUAUUGUUAAGUUUAGUAAUCUCACUUAUUAUGGACCAUUACUUGAAAUUACCUGAUAUAAGUUAAACUCAACAGAGUAAGAUUUAGUUUACGUACAACAAACAGAUAGUUCUAUAGACUAAGCCUCACACAGUGACCUGUAUAUUUGAUACUAACGCUAUCUUCUGACUUCUUACGGGCAAUUAAUUGAAAUUAUCUCUCAAGUGACCUAAUAGUUUAAACUAUUGGUGUCUAUAAGUCAAAUUCGACAAGAGAAAGGUUAAGCGACCUACAACAACUCAUAAUUCUACAUAUUAAGUUGAACUCUUAUGAUAAUACAUGAGCACUAAUUGUGCCUAUGCUACUAGGCACAACAAUGCAGACAAUUCUCAGAUGACCUCGUAGUGUAAAAACAUCUCCCCAAGGUGAUCUGAUAGUGCGAAAACUCUUCAAAGUGUUAGUGUCUAUACGUUAAAUUCCAUAAAAGUAACCUACAUCAUAACAGGCAAUUCUACAUAUAGGUGAUCUAAUAGUGUAAAUGCUCUUUCAAAGUGUGUGUGUCUAUAAGUUAAACUCGGUAAGUGUAAGAUUUAAGAUAACAUUGACCUACAUCUACGACAACAGACAAGACAAUCCUAUAAAAUAAUCUUUUAAACUGUUGCGUCUAUAAGUCAAAUUCGAUGAGAGUAAGAUUAAGUUAGACAUAUAACAACGACAACAACAGACAAUUCUAAUAUAGGUUAGCUGAUAGCGUAAAAACUCUAUAAAACUGUUAAGUGUCAAGUUAAACUCGAUAAGAGUAAGAUUAAGUUGACCUGGAACAACAACAAAAAACAAGACAAUUAUAUAUAUAGAUGACCUGACAGUGUAAAAACUCUUUUACAAUUGUCAGUGUCUAUAAAUUAAACUCGAUAGGAGUAAGAUUAAGUUAGACCUACAACAACAGACAAUUCUAAAAUGUGCAAUAGCCUGAUAUAUAACUUAAAACUCUUAACGAACCUGUGAAGAACAGCUUCAUCAGAGGACAUAAUGAAAACACUACGAAGAAUGGCAUCGUUCCUCAGACAAUCCAACUUAACCAAUUCUUUCUCCACAGACCCUCCCUAUCAUUCUGCAAUAUUAUGCCACUCAACACAACCUUCCUGCUUCUGUUGUCGGCGCUAAAGGCGCAGUUAAUCCAUUAAACUCACAACUUCCACUGCCACUAUUAUCACUACAACAACUAGCCACUAAAGCCAAUGACUUUUUCUUGGUCCUGAAUAGAGUAUUACUAUGUAUAUUGAAUGGAGAAAAUAGUGACUUUGAUGUUGAAUUUGAAUGGUGGAUAUUAGUGUAGUGCAAUCUUGGAGUUUAAAGGGAGACACUCCAUUCAAGAAGCUAAAUAUUGGAAAGAAUACAGUAGAAGAGAAAUUCAUUGUAACAGUCCAAAAUAAUGUAAGUUCUAUACAUCUCCAAAUCCUCUUCUAAUAUUUAACAUCAGGUAGCAAAAUCCUUUAUACAAGAAGAAAAUUGCAGUAUACUUGACAACUACUAUAUAUAUACUUUACCCUCUACAUAAUCUUCUGCUAUAUAUAUACUUUUCCCCUUACAUGGCAAAAGUCAAGAGUGGACUUCCUCGUUAUGUCAGAGUAAAUGAGAUCAAAAGUUCGAUGUGAUAAAAAAAUCACCCUUCUCUGGUGUGAUUAGUUCUCCUCGAGCCGAUAAAAUUCCCUAACGUAAUCUUCUGCAUCCCAAACGAAAGAACCAAAUGCGACAGCCUCCAACACAAACCUCUUCAGACUCGCGAAUGAAGUUGAAACUUCCUCGUCACUCUCAUCGCCAAAAAGCGCAGAGCAAUGCUUCUCAAUCACACUUUUAGCCUCUUUGAACUUCGGUUUUGUACACAUUAGCUUUAUUUCACUGUCAAGACUCGUAAUAUAGGACCUAAGAUUGUGUUGCUUCUUCCCCUCGAUAAGUGAUACUGGACGGACUGAUGUGGAUCCUGUAUCACCUCCACGUUCGAGGGGAAUACUUUUUUGUUUUAACUGCCAUGCCCGCGAAAAUAACAGGUUGGUAGGAGUACGUUUACCUAAAUUCUGUUCCAAAUGGUACCUCAACGAGGCCGACUUCAAGAAGUAUCCAUAUAGAACUGAAGCAGCAUAGACAUGACGGAUUUGGAGCUUUUGGACUUGAGUGAGGGGCCAUUUAUCUUUCACGUUCA